AUCAAAAUCUGUGUGGGGAUGGAAGAGGUGGAAGGCACAUGUAGUGAAUCAAUUAAGGAGAUUGAACUAAACUUACAACAAUGCAACAGAAACUUAAGCCACAAGGAACGCAAAGCCCUUCUAAAGAAAGAAAAGAGAAGACUGAAAAGACAGGAAGAAGCAAGAAAAAGACAAGAAGAAAUAGAAGAAGAAGAAAAAAAGAAAGAAAACUCUCCAACAUAUCAAGCUAGACUGAAAGAGAAAGAAGAGAAUGAGAUUCUCAUGGAGCAGCGUGAAGAAGCAGAGAGGGUGUACAUGAAUAAGCUCUGGGAGGAAAGGGAACGACUGGCUCAGGAGGAAUUCCGAAUGCAAAAGGAGCGAGAGGCGAGGGAAAGAGAAAAGAAAAUAGAAACUGAGAAAAAAAUAAGAGAAGAAUGGGAGGAGAGACAAAGAAAGGAAAAGGAGGAAGAAGAAGUGAAAGAAAAGAAGAAAGAGAAGCAGGUGAUGGGGAGAGUAACAAGUGCCAGAAAGCUGAGGAGAAGUCCAGGUGCUUGCCACUAAUUGUAUGAUGAUAUGUGUUAGCCAUCAUGGUAUAUUGUAGGAGGAGCUUCUGAAGGAAGCCUUAGCCAAUGAAAACAAGGAUGAACCGUGGCACAACCCUAUGGUAACCCUCAUACCUGGAACGGAGCGAGAAACUUGUAUGUUCUUCUCCAAAACAGGAACCUGUCGAUUUGGAGACAGAUGUUCAAGGGGACACCCCCACCCUGAGGUCAGCAACACUCUUCUGUUCCACAGCAUGUACAACCACUUUGAGCUGGAGCAAGGACUCAAGGACGACCUUGACACAACAGAUGUGACACUGGAGUAUGAUGAUGGAGAACUGUAUCAGAACUUCCAGGACUUCUAUCUUGACAUCGUACCAGAGUUCAGGAACUAUGGAAAACUGAUUCAGGUCAAGGUCUGCAACAACUACGAGCCCCAUCUACGUGGAAACGUCUAUGUCCAAUAUAAAAGUGAAAACAGUGCACAAGAAGCUUUCAUGAAUCUGAAUGGAAGAUUUUAUGGAGGAAAACAGAUAUCUUGUCAGUUUGUAGAGAUUAAGAAGUGGAAAUCUGCUAUUUGUGGACUUUUCCGGAGUGGAAGAUGUCCCAAAGGAAGAAAUUGCAACUUUUUACAUGUGUUUAAAAAUCCCAAUAAUGAAUUUUGGAGUGCUGAUAUGGAUAAUUCCUAUGAAGCAACCGAAAGUACAAGGUCAAGGAGGCAUAGAUCUAGGUCAAGGUCUCCCUCAAGAUCAUAUAGGUCAAGUUCAAGAAGAAUUCGGAGGUCACGGUCAAGAUCGUCUGAAAGCCAAAGAUACUAUUCACAUGAACACUAUAAGUCUAGAUAUUCAAGGUCUAGAAGCAGAUCCAGGGAAAGGUCGCGUGUAAAGUCAGGAAAGAAAAGCAAACGGUCAAGGUCAAGAAGCAGGUCGGUCGAAACUUCAAGGUCAAGGAUAGAUAGGAAGAGAAGGUCACGUAGUAGAUCACACAGAAGAUCAAGAAGCAGAAGCAAAAUGGGAAAGAAGCUUCAGAAAAAAUCCAGGUCUAAAAGUAGGUCUCAAAGUAGAUCAAGAAUGGACAAAAAAAGAAGGUCAAGGUCAGGAUCUCCACCAAACACGGGAAUAGAAAAUCCAGCAGCAAGAAGUAGUGAAGAAAACUCUGUUGAUAAUAACAACCUAGAAAAUGAACAAAUUUUGAAUCCAGAGAAUAGUUCAAGUGGCCUUGUUUACUGUGAAGAGAUAAAUAAGGAAGUUCGUACAAAUGGGGACACUGUAAACAGUAUCACAUCUUCUACGCCUGGCUCACCAAAACAUUCAGUGAAAAAACAUAAAAAACACAAAAAACACAAACACAAGAAAAAGUCAAACACUGUCUCAGAAAGUGAAUAAAUGAUUUGUUUAUC
rnacentral:misc_RNA from 1 species